rnacentral:tRNA from 1 species
CACUAAGAAGCUAAACCGGGUCUAGCAUUAGCCUUUUAAGCUAAAUAUUGGUGAAUCCCUACCACCCUUAGUGA